CUUUUACCAUGUUAAUUUUUUUUAUUUUUUCUAAUUUUUUUUUUUAUUGUGAAGACGUUUUUUUUCAUUUUUAUUACUUCAAAUAUUAAAAUUUACACCUAUGUAUUAUCUAUGAACAUAUACAAUAAUAUAUCAGUAUAUCAUUUACUUAUUAUGUUGUUUGUUUAAUAUUUUUCUCUACGUAUUUUAAGUUUUAAACUUAAACUUAAAAAAGAUGUCAUGGAGAUUGGUGAAGCCACUGUUAUAGGUAAUUUAAUGUAUACCUAUAAGCAGCGAUAAACCAUUGCUUACGAAAAAUCGAUUCUGAAAGGAGUUCAUUUGAUAGUGAUGCUUUGUCAACAAUAUUUAUAUGUCUUAUUAUAGAAAAAUAAUUAAAUAGGCAUUAUAUAUUUUUUUUAAUAAUAUUUGUUUUAUGUUGAACCGAUUUUCCCAUGUUUUAACCCGAUUUUUUUAAUUUGCUGGAAAAACUCCUGAGAAAAUCGAAAAAUGACCUUUCUUAAGUACCUCCUCAUACCAAUUUCCUUUCAAAAAAGUUGCUACACGUAGAAAUCCGAGCAAGUCUUCUGGUAGAAAAGUUGUUAACAGAUAAAAAAAUAAAAAUCUUUGUAAAACCAUAAUCUUCUUCACAAAAGAUUUUACACAAAAGUUAUGUAGUAUAAGUAUCUAUUUAAUUGUAUAUCUACCAGUUUCAAUAUAUUUUAUUUUUAUACAACAUUAUGACCUAAGCACUCUUGCCAUUGGAAUUUAUGCAUGUUAAAUACUUUUACAUUUAAUUUUAAUUGAUUUAUUUUAUAAUUAAUAAUUAUUUUCAUUGUAUAUUUAUAUUUAAAUACUUAAUAUUGGUCAUGAAUUAAGAUAUCUUAAUUUGUGCUACUGGUUUAUGCUCUUAAUUUUUUUUAAAACUUAUUUAUCAUAAUAUAAUAUUGUUAAUUUGUGGUGUAUGCUUUUAAAUUAUAAAUCAACUAUCAUAUUUCAUAAUGGUAUUUGUAUAAUUAAUUAUAUUUAUAAUUAUAUAUUUUUAUUGUUAUUACAGGAAAAAUAUCUGGCUGAAGUCAACUCAAUUUAAGUUACUUAGUUAACCCAACAGAUUGUAUAACUCCAUGGUUAUGACUAUACAGUGAGUCCCACCAUGUUCAAUGAAGUUUUCUUGAGCUGGUAAUAUUAAAUAUUUUUCAAUUUUUUUUUUCAAUCGGUUUGUUUUCGAGGGGGACAUUUUUUUGGAAAAAAAAUCAAUUUUUAUUUUGUAACUUGAUUCACUUAUUUUCACUCAUAUCAUUUUUGUAUUUCUUCUGUAACUUGUACCUAUUCUUAUAAAUAAUAAAAUCACCAACUGAUAAUAAUGAUUACAAAUACUAUUCAAAAUACAAAUUCAUAUAAAAAUAAAUUACUAGCUAUUUGCAGUAAUAUAUUAAAAGUGACAAGUACACCAUCUGUUGACUUAUUCUCAUAAUUCCGUUUUUGUUGAAUAUGGUAAUGUUAGUGACAUAGGUAGCGCCACAUAACUAAACCAAGCCCCGGAUCGUCUCCGCACAUAGAAUUAAGCAAGUUGCCAGAUCAUCUUUAAGGUCGUUCUGUUGACGCUCCUAUUACAGAAUAGCCGAAAUAGAAUAACAGAAAGUUUAGUACCUACAUUUAAGUUAGGCGCUAGUAAGUUAACAAGAUUGCCGUGGCAAAUAACGGGAGUGCGUAAAAACCGAAUAUAAAUCAGCCAAAAAAAUAUUUCGGGCGAACCGUACUUAAGCAGACAAAUAUAUUUGACCCGAUAUUAUACCCGAUACUAUUAUAUUUUAUUUGAAAAUGUCACAGCCUCCCGUUUUAAAGAGAUAGGGCCAGACCUUCCAAAAAACGAUAAGCGUGAUAAAAAAUAAAUAAAGAGAGGAACUUCAUUUUCGGCAGUUUUAUAGUUCCCCCUCAUAACAAACGCGUCACACUCGCCUAUAGGUCAUCUAAUAGGUAUCAUUGUAACCAGUGGCGUAGCGAAGGAGGGUGUUUUGGUGGCAAAAAUGCCAACAAUUAUACUAUAUGCAGUUAUGCAACAGAUUACUACAUGAUGUGUUACGCAUAGAUAAUUAUUAAGUAUACUGUACAAUAUUAUGUUAUGUGUGUUCUACAUCUACCAUAUUAUUCGCUCGAUAAAAUUACGAAGUUACAACUUAACAUAAAAUAAAAAAAAACAUCCCAAAAAAAAUCCUCGCUUGCCGCCAAAAUGUUGUACCGUCCAAAACAUUGUAACGGGUUACAAGUUCAAAUACAUUCCUCGCUACGUUCCGAAUCUAAAACGUAGGAUAAACCUAUCUGGAUUGGUAGCAUUUAAGCAUCAAUAACGAACUAUUCUUGGUAAAUAAAAGUAUUUAAUCGAAUAUAAACGAUAUUUUCCACACCAAUCAUCAUCUGAAAAACAUCGAGUUUAUUAUUUGGACCCAAUCUAGAAACAAUAUUAAUGUUCAGUGACUAUUGUCAUUAAUAAUGACUCGUUAUUCAUUAAUCAAUUUUAUCAUAAGCAUAUAGUACUUACCCGCCUAAGUAAUUUAGAAUCAAUCAUUAUUAUUAUUAUUUUUUUUUUUAACACUUACCACAAUCUCAGUACGCGAUGUGACACUAAACUAUAUGUUUUUCGAACGGUUUCGACUAUAUGUUUAAACGGUUUUUAUGUUUCUACUGCAUGUCUACAUCGUACCUGACAAUAUCAAUAUAUUCAUAAUAUAAUUCCGCGCGGGUAUUUUUGUUUCUACUCGUGUUAUUUUUAAUAAGCACCUAGGUAAAUGGCUACAUAAUAAUUUUAUGGGUAGCAGCUAAAACAUUCGGGCAUUCGUGCGCUUUUUGAUUUAAUUGUACAGGUUAGGUUCUAUAGGUAAAGGUACACCCGUUGACGUGCGCCAUAACACCUGAACGUUGACCUACUUUAUAUAAUAUGCUAUACAAUAAUAUAGGUAUAUUAUACAGUAUAGAAUAUUAUUAUAGGUACACAGAAAAGCUAUUUAUAAAGCACGGGAAUUUAAUAUAAUGUAUGCGUAGAUAAUAUAGGUAAUAGGUACCUGUAUACUUAAAAAAAAAAAAUAUGCGCAUAAUCGUGAAAUUUAAACAUAAUACAUUUAAAGUAAAGAAAACGUACCCUAUAUAAACUUUUUUUUUUUUAAUGAUGAAUAACUAAUGUCCCUUCUAGAAAAAUAAAAACUGUCAAUAAAAUUAUAAUGAAACGUCGCUGCGUAUGAAUUGCGUCCCGAAAUGGAAAAAAAUGAGCUAAUACUGAGGACGGGUGCAACCACUGUUGUAGGUGGGAAGUUGGGAAAGUAGGAUACAUUAGGUUAUUUCAUCUGUAAGCAACGAUAAACCAUUGCUGACGAAAAACGAUUCGGAGUGAAGUUCGUUUAUACAGGUUUUGAAAGGCUGUAAUAUUUACGAUUUUCUUCAAAAUUUUAUAUUAAAAUUAUUAUAUAAAAAAAAAUCCACUUAAUACUCAAUAUUUUUUUUUUUUUACCAUAAAGUACGAUUUAUAACGAACCUCCAUCAAAUUUCGAACGCAGUUCGGUAAUACAUAAUUUGAAGUGUCGUAAUUUUUUUUGUGAGUUUCGUUUAAAUUUGAGUUCAAAACACUUAUUAAAAAAUAAUUCAACAAAAAAGGUCUCUUUUCAUUUUUCAAUUGGACCCAAAUUUGUGCUAAAAAACAUGGUAGGUACUUAGUUAAAAUAACGAAAUCAUCAAAAAACCGUAUUUUUUUUCUGGUUAAUCGUUUUUAUUUUAAAUACCUUUUCGAAAAUCAAAAAAUGAUCUAUGUAGAUAAAAUUUACUUUCAGAAAAGGUGUUACACUUAUACAUCGAAGAAAGUUUUCAUAGACGAAAGUGGUCUACAGUGUAAAAAAAAAAAAAAAUAAGUACCAUUGUAAAAAAAAUUGAAAAAAAGUCGUCCGAUCAUUUUGGAAAUUUUACCAUGUCAAGGUAAGUCCAAUAUAAGUACUAUUACCAUAUUUCAAGUCUCUACGUGAUUGAAUAACCGAAUUACAGUAAAGAAUCUCCCGAAAAUUAAAAUUCCUAAAAGUUCUAAACUUUUGGCAAUAAUACCGUAAGAAAGUAAAUCAAAAUGGCAACAAAAAAGGUGUCUUGUGAUUUUUUGAUUAAAUCAUUUUUUCUGAUAGAAAACGUCGUCCGUGUUUUUAUAAAAUAAUGAAAUCGUGAAAUAGUACGUUUUCCUACAUUUUGUCACACUUAAGUGCUUUUAUUUGAAAAAUGACCUCUUCAAAGUACUAUCUAGACAACAAGAGCUUUCAGAAAAGGUUGUUACUCGUAAAAAUCGAAGCAAGUUUAGAAAAAACGUGUCCACAGACUAGAAUAAAAAAAAAAAAAAAAAAAAAUCUUAGUAAAACCAAAAGGGCACUUGCUACGUUCGGAAUCUAAAAGAAAAUACUGGGGAUGAGAGCGGCCACUGUUGUAGGUGAGAAUUUGGGAAGGUAGGAUACAUGAGGUUAUUUCAUUUAUAUCUGUUACCAACGAUAAACCAUUGCUUACGAAAAAACCGAUUCUGAGCGGAAUUCAGUUGAUAGUGAUGCAUUGUUAACAAUAUAUAUGACAUUUUAGGAUAAAAUAAUUAAAUAGGCAAUAUAUAAAAAUUACCUCUCUAAAGUACCUCCCCAGAAAAAUUUCUUUUCAGAAAAAGUAGUAGCAUUGUAAAUCGGAAGAAAAUUUUCAUUUACCACCCAGUGGUGGGCCGCACUACCAACGUGUGGACACCGACAAUACGUCGCGGCUGAAUAAUACCAAAAAAACGAAAUGUCCCGAGCCUACUAUCCGUGAGCGGCCUUAUCGCGGCCCGUCACCCGGUGGCGCGGUCGUUUAUUUACAGUUUUUUUUUACGCACCGCCCCAAAAGAGCCGUGCGGGUUUAAAAUAUGUAAAAUAUGAAUGCGACUGAGUCCCGUAAAGUGUAUUCGGUGGCUACUCGUUACACCCGUUACGUGCGUCUCCGCGCGUCCAAUCCACGCCCGGUCGUGGCCGAUUUGCGGGAAGCACGGGCGCUCCAGUGCCGUCUGAUCGCGCGCGUCAGAAUCGACUACGUCGGGCCCGUCACGAUGUGAGAACUGAGAACACCAGUCACGAAAUGCGCGGACUGUCGCUGUGUUUGUGUGUGCCUAAGCGUCAAAGCGGUCCGUUUGAAGCUACCUACGUCUACUCGGACGGCGGGACCAACUUCAUCGGCGCCUACCGGCGGCUCCGUCAACUGGCUAACAGCACCACGACGCAGGCCGUUAUUAUCGCCACCGCGUUAUCCUGUGUUUCCGCAUUUCGGCGGACUGUGGGAAGCAGCAGUAUACGGUCCGGGAUCCGGUCAAUUCCCGACCGUUAAACGCCCGGAAACUUCCCGGUGGACCAACCGUUACUUGGCAAUUCUUCGCCGUAAUUCGGACGCCCGUGGUCGGGAUUUUCAAAAUAAUUGGGAAAACUCCGAAAGAAAAUUAUAGGUCGAGCGGCAAAUAUUUACGGCGCACCGUUACCGUCGUUUUUUAAUGACUAAAGUAUUUUUCGUAAUAAUUGGGAAAAACCAAAAAAAAUUUAACAGGUGGUUCGUUAUAAGUCGUACUUAUUGUGUUUAAAAAAAUACAUUUCAAAUGUAAUGUAGAAUACUUUUUUAUACAAAUUUUAAAUAUUAUACGGCAUUUCAAAACAUGUAUAACCGAAAUCCGCUCAAAAUAGAUUUUCGUUAGCAAUGGUUAAUCGUUGCGUACAGAUAUACAUUUCAUUCUCUUCUACCUUCCCAACUUUUCACCUACAACAGUGGCCCAUUCGUGCGAAUUAUGUCCGUAUCUUUUUUCUUUAUAAGCCUGUAAAGUUCGUGUUUUGAAAAUGUUCGUAAAAUAUGCGAAUAUUUGUUAUUUAUUUUAUAGUUUACAUACAGUUCGACAUUAUACGGACUUUUAUCGAUUCUUUGAGGCGACACGCAGACAUUGUCUUGCAGAACUCGAUGACACUGAUAGGAGACCUGGCACACAGUAUAAGACUUAUUAGCGAUUAGCUUAUUGAGCGAUAAGACACGAAAUUUUCCACAAUCGUAAUAAAAUAAUACAAAAGUUUUAAAAUUUAUUUUUUCAUAUUAUUUUUUUAUUUUCUUAUUAUUCUUACUAUUAUUUUUUGUAUUUUUUUUUUCUAUUUUACUAUGUUAUAUAUAUUAUAUAAUCUAAAUAUUUUUUCUUUCAUCGCGACCCAUAGGUUGGGAAACACUGCUCUAGGGUAUAUUGUAUUGCGCAAUCGUGCAGAUGAGGUAUUAAUUAAACAGUACACUGCCGUCAACAUUACCCGUCUCUCAUCGUGUACCCCACCAGGAGACAUAAUUGACUUCCAUGCACUUAUUCAUUAUUAUUCGAUGUUCUCGAAAUAGAUUACAUAUCAGCAUUUAUAAUAAUUUGUCUUCGUGCCAGUGCCGGAAUAUUAUGUAGCGAUACUUCAGUGCGUAAUUACUUUAUUUUAACAUUAUCUACUUUAUUGUUAUAUAAUCAUAAAUAAUAAUAAUUAUAACUGAACUCGCUGGGGAUGCAAUUUCACACCCUGUACCCUCUCCCUCGUUCGCAUGCUUAUACGUGUAGUAAUCCUUAUGUUAUUUUCAAUUUUGUUAAUUGUUGUAGUUCAAUAAAAAAUAUUCGUAGAGACUUGAAAUUUGAACAGAAAAUUUAUAUUUGCCUUUUCUAGAUGUAACAUUUUCAAAACAUUUAAGUAAUUUCUAAGCUAUAAGACAUUUUAAUUUUGCGAGUUUUUUACGUAAUUUGUAUUAGUUACUUUGUGAAACAGAAAUGCUAGAAAAUUUAACAGGAGGUACUUUAUAAGUUGUAUUUAUUGGUCGACAAGAAAAAGUUGAGAUUAAUUCAGUUUUUUUUAUAAGAAUUUUAAUAUCAAAUUUUAACGUAAAUCCCAAAUAUUAGCCAUUUCAAAACAUGUAUAUUCUAACUUUGCUCAGAAUCGUAUUUCGUUAGCAAUGGUUUAUCAUUAGAUAUAAAUUAUACAACUUUAUGUAUUCUCUCUUCCCAACUUCUCACCAACAACAGUGGUACAUCCAUCAGUAGUAUUAAUUCUUUUUAAAAUUGAAUAAUGUAUGAACAUGUUUAAUAAGUUAUAGUAGUUAUAGAAUUAAAUAAAUGACAAAAUAAUAUACAUGUAAAUUAUAAUAUAAUAUGAUAUUUUUCGAAUUUUAAACAAUUAAUAAUUAUGAAAGCAGAGAUUGAAGUUUGAAAUUAAAAUUCUAAAAUUGCAUACAAAUUCCAUGUCUAUUUCAGAUUUUCUUUGACUUUUCCCGGUUUUUAAAAGCUCUAUGGCAACCAUAAUUAAUAACCACUAGACGAUAGUAUAUAAUUUAAUUGUAAGUUUAUGUUAAGUUAAAUAGGAUUAUUAUUAUGUAAAUUCAACAAUAAUACAUUUACUCUGAAUUACAGUUUUCGUAAAAUCACGGAAUUGAGAUUUUGGUGAACUUUUUUGAGUACUUUUAUUAAAAAUGUAUGACUAAAACUCGUGUAUAUUAAUGUAGAUGUAAAAAAAUCACGCUAAAAAAAUGUAAACAUAAAUUUAUUACUACCACAUUCUGAAAGUGCGUUUUUGGGUACAUUAUAUAGUUAUAUGUUUAUGUGUAUGUACCCACUCUUAGUUUUCUGAUAAAAAAUAUAAUUACGAUGAUAAAUGUAUUUUUUUGGUAAUUGAAACCUUUUUUGGAAAUGCAAAAAUCCAGUUUUAUAGAGCAAACAGAAAUAUUUAAUUAAAAUCACUAAUCUGUAUAAAAAUAAUGCAAAGGAAAUGGUGUACAGUUAACUAAAUAAAAUAUUAAGUAUAUUUAGGUUUUAGAGGAUGAUAUACGAAGAGAAUGGUAUACAACACCUUAUCUCCCACAGAUCCCACAAAAAGCCAAAAUGAAGCCUAAGAAAUUAAAUUUUGUAUAAACAUGGUGUAGACCCUAUCAAAAAUAAACUUUUUGGGGGUUUCAACUUUCAAAUUUCUCCUAAAUAUUUCUAAAUCUCCUAAAUAAAUUAAUCGGAGUAGUAUUAGUCGGGGUGUUUAUCCUAUAAUAUAGCCAAAGCUAACCAAAGUAAUUAAAAAAUAUAUAUUUGAACAAUUGUUGUCGGGUUAUUUUUUUUAUAUUAGAGAAAAAUGAUUGAGAAUCUAGACAUAUUUUGAAGUACCGAGUGAAGCGAGGAAUGUAUUGGUUUUACAAUGAUGUUUAUUUUAGAUUCGGAGCGUAACAAGGAGCUAUUGAUUUUACUAUGGUGUGUGUUUUUUGUAUUAACUUUUCUUCAAGAUAUUUUGCUCCGAAUUAUUAAAUUUAGCAUCUUUCCUGGAAGGUGAUUUUCUCUAUUGGUGCAUUGGGAACAUCUUUUUUUUUCAUUUUCUGAGGGAUUUUCAAGAUAAUUGGGAAAAACCCAAAAAUAUUUAACAGGUGGUUCGUUAUAAGUCGUACUUAUUGUAUUUAAAAAUUUUAAUAUCAAAUUUUGACAAAAAUCUUAAAUAUUUUACGACAGUUCAAAACAUGUAUAACCUAAAUCCGCUCAAAAUAGUUUUGCGUUAGCAAUGAUUAAUCGUUCCGUACAGAUAUAAUUUUCCUCUAUAUCCUACCUUCCCAACUUCUCACCUAUAACAGUGACCCACACAUCGUGCGAACUAUGUCUGUAUUUAUUUAUUUUUAAUUAAUUACUUCUAGGUACUCACAUCUUUCAAGGUACAGUGGAAAUAAUUUAUAAUUUUUUUAUUAACCAAAAAAGUGCUUUUUACUGUUUUAGCUGUCAUUUAGGUUUUACCUUUAUUUUUAGACCAGUAAAUAUUCGAUAUGGUUACAUGGCGCCCCUGUACAGAUUCCGAGGCAUGCCGGGCGCCACGGUGCACAUUUUUGGAACCACUGCGCUAUAACACAUUAAUCAUGCAUGUUCAAAUUAUAUUUGAAAUGCUUAUUUCAAUAAAGAACGAAAC